rnacentral:pre_miRNA from 1 species
AAGGUACUCCCUCCGUUCGGAAUUACUCGUCCAAGAAAUGAAUGUAUCUAGAUGUAUUUUAGUUGUAGAUACAUCCAUUUUUGCGACAAGUAAUUCCGAACGGAGGGAGUACAAG